rnacentral:rRNA from 1 species
UGGGGAAACCCAGUGUGAUUCGUCACACUAUCAUUAACUGAAUCCAUAGGUUAAUGAGGCGAACCGGGGGAACUGAAACAUCUAAGUACCCCGAGGAAAAGAAAUCAACCGAGAUUCCCCCAGUAGCGGCGAGCGAACGGGGAGGAGCCCAGAGCCUGAAUCAGCAUGUGUGUUAGUGGAAGCGUCUGGAAAGGCGCGCGAUACAGGGUGACAGCCCCGUACACAAAAGCGCAUGUGCUGUGAGCUCGAUGAGUAGGGCGGGACACGUGGUAUCCUGUCUGAAUAUGGGGGGACCAUCCUCCAAGGCUAAAUACUCCUGACUGACCGAUAGUGAACCAGUACCGUGAGGGAAAGGCGAAAAGAACCCCGGCGAGGGGAGUGAAAAAGAACCUGAAACCGUGUACGUACAAGCAGUGGGAGCACAGGUUUACCUGUGUGACUGCGUACCUUUUGUAUAAUGGGUCAGCGACUUAU